GAUUGUAAGAAAAAUGUUUAAUUUUAAAAUGAUCGUGUAGUACUAUUUAGCAGGUGGAAAAUAAGCACUUAAAAUUAUUAUGGGGUGAAUUUAAAUUCAUAAACUUUGAAAAUCGAGUAAGUGGAAUUCCAGACGUACAAAUUAAACCUCCCGACCUUGGCCAAACUUCAAAAAUUCCCCAAAUCGAGAAAAUUUAAACCCUAAUUCCCCAAUCAUCCCUCGAAUAUAGUUGAGCCCAAUAGGAUCAGAUUUGAUCCGAUUAUAUAUUAAUAUUGGGCUAGACUUGGCCCAAUGAGAUCGAGUGUACGUGACUAAACAGAGGAAUUUAUGUAACUAGAGUACUUGAAACAAUUACGAG
rnacentral:lncRNA from 1 species